UGCAUCUUAGAUUGUCCUUAACUUAGCUGGCCCCAAGCAUCUGGCUUGCCUCACCUCACAAGUACUGAGGCGUGGGUGAGCAAUCCCCUGUUCAGAAGUGCCCCAGCAGUGCAUGUGUCCACACAAAGCAUGUGCUUUGCUGGCAUCUCUGUAGAAUGGAAGAGCCAGUCAGUGGGGGCAGGAGGUAGGAUGUGUGUGUGGUGGAAGCAUCAUGGAAGCUCCUGCAGGGCAAGAGGUACUUUGGUUCAUUCCUUUCACUGACAGCUACAAUAUGGGUGGCCUUAUUUUUUUGCUCAUGGCUAUGUCGUCCAGGAUUAUGGUCAGAAAGACAGACUGAAUUACACUCUCCCUCUGCCCCGGAUAAACUACCAUCAUAAUUCCAACACCAGACUAAAGCAUGUCUGGCUCCUUCACUUCUACUCUUGCUUCUUAAUGAGCAGAGAGAGGGGCUCUUUUAGAGUGUUUUUAUGGCACUGAUCACUUACAAGGAAGCACAUUGACAGGGCUAAUGCACCAUGCUUCUGUUCUUGUGCUCUUGCCUGCAUUGCUGUGGUGGUGUCAUUCUCUGCAGUGUUUUUUAGGCUUUGAAUAGGAAUGUGUCAAGGCAGUUAUGUUUGGAUUCUGUCUUGUCUGAGUGUUCAUGCAAAGUCUCACUUAGCUAUGGGAGCUGUAGAUGCUGUUCCCUUCCCACCUCCAUUAUUUAGGGCUUGCUACAGCAGAGCUCUCAAGCCUGUACUUUAUUCUGAGCCUGCAGGAGAUUUCACUGAAAGCAGAGUUUAGGUCUCUUUCACAAUAUUUGCUGUGAUUAUUUGGAUGAUUAUCACAGAGACAAACUAAGACAGGUAGAUAGAUCUAGAACCACAGGCAGGAGCCUAGAUUUAAGUGCUUGCAUCUCAGCAGUGGAGGAGUCAAUGGAAGGAUCCUGUAGUGAUGGAAACACAAAGCAGAUGCUCCAGAUGGACUGGUUCCAGGUGUCUGUGUGAAAUGCAUGCCUUAGAUCUCACUGGCAUCUGGAGAGGGGCUGGUCCCACAGAGGGAAGACUCUGCUAGUGACAGGCUCCCAAAUGGCCCUGCCCAUGAGCAGCUCUUCUGCCUGUCAUCCAGCUCAUUCUCUAAUGCUAAUAAAGACAGUGGCUUUAGCCCAGGCUUGUUGUGAUGACUAAGCUAUUAGCAAAUAUGAGGCAGAGAAACACUGAGGCGUUUUCUGCUUUGGGAGGAAAUACUGUUGCACAGUUGAUUUGAGAGCCAAUUUCUGGCACCAGGUCAAAGGCAGUUGCUUUCCCUACUUCCCAGUUAAAGGACUUAUUUAUGGAUGGAUGAGGUGAAGAAGUAAAGAAUCUUGACUUGCUUUUCCUCCUGGAAGGGCUGUCUUGUUGUCCAAGCAAUCGUAUCUCUUCGUUCUGAUUAGGUCUUCCUUUAUUGUAGGAGUGUGCUCAUACCAGCAAUCGUUGUGGCUGUUUUGAUGCUGCAGAGAUGCCAUCUAUCAAAACUGUGACUUUGGUGACUCAUUGUCCUUCUGGGCUGUUCCGGGAUAUGCUAUGGAGCAACCUCUGAUGUUCUGACCUUACAGAUGAGGAAUUGCACCCCGGAUAGAUGAAGUAAUUUGUCUAAGGUUACCCAGGCAAUCUGUGUCAGGGCAAGGAUUCAAGCUUGUCUACAAGUGCCUGCCUUUUGGAACGUUCUUCCUCCCACUGGCAGCACCUCCUAUGGCUGAAAUGCAACAGUUCAUGCAGGAGAAAUGUCUCUUGUACUUUCCAUCUGUCUUUGGGGCGGUGCUAUCACGUACUGCGUGUUUUGUAUACUUGAUGGAGUUUCAACAGAGCUGAAGGUCAUCACUUUCUGCUUUCUCCUUUUGGGUUUCAUUCUGUUACUGUUCUCUUUUUUAUGUCCAGCAAAUACAGACAAACAGGUGUGUUAAUGAUGCAGGGCCAGCCACAUACUUAUCCUGAUCUUUAUCUCUGUGUGCCAACACUCAGGAUCAGGCUCUGUCUUCAGUCCCCUUGCCAUAGUCUUAUCCUGGUGACCACAGGACUUUUCAGUAUCCUUGCCCCAGCAGGUCACAUUCCUGCAGGUCCUCCUUAGAGACUGGUGAUGUCACAGUGACCAUACAUCCAUGUCGUGGGGCUCAAGGGAAGAGAACUCACUUUCAAACCAGCAGUCAGUAUGGCUAUCUGUUCUAUGGAUGUUGUGGCCCUACUUUGUCCAAUGCAUUCCCAAGUCCAAUGUUAAGUGCUUCCUGCCUCUUCUGCAGGACUUUAAAAUAUCCAUUCCCCAUCCAAGACAAGAUUGCUAUGGAAGAACCAGCAGGAACAGGUGGAGAGGCCCUGUUCCACGUGAGAUGUCAGAGAUCAGAUGCAAGAGGCCAGCAUGGAGUGGGAACUUCACGUGAGACUUCUGAUCAGUCACAGGUGGGAAGCUUCAGUUGUAGCUGUGUAUGACCACUUGAGCUCCUUCAACUCGAAAAGGAUGGAAAUGAGUUUUAUAAGGUGAUUCGUGGAAGAUAGUUUUUCCAAAAUUUCAUGGGGAUGGAACCAUGGCACGAGGAAAAGCAAGUUCUCUGCACCAGUGUAGAAGAGGGAUAAAUCUGUAGGAGAAUAAAGCAUCGUGUGUUCUGUUCCUCUGAGAACAGCUUGUUUUCUCAGAGCUCUGUUCCUUCGUAUGGGAGAGCUUUAUCAACACAAAGAAAGGAGGAAUAAAAUAAUUUUCUCCCUAA